UGGGGAAUCUUGGACAAUGGGCGAAAGCCUGAUCCAGCCAUGCCGCGUGUGUGAAGAAGGUCUUCGGAUUGUAAAGCACUUUAAGUUGGGAGGAAGGGUUGUAGAUUAAUACUCUGCAAUUUUGACGUUACCGACAGAAUAAGCACCGGCUAACUCUGUGCCAGCAGCCGCGGUAAUACAGAGGGUGCAAGCGUUAAUCGGAAUUACUGGGCGUAAAGCGCGCGUAGGUGGUUUGUUAAGUUGGAUGUGAAAUCCCCGGGCUCAACCUGGGAACUGCAUCCAAAACUGGCAAGCUAGAGUAUGGUAGAGGGUGGUGGAAUUUCCUGUGUAGCGGUGAAAUGCGUAGAUAUAGGAAGGAACACCAGUGGCGAAGGCGACCACCUGGACUGAUACUGACACUGAGGUGCGAAAGCG
rnacentral:rRNA from 1 species